rnacentral:rRNA from 1 species
UACGGGGGGGGCAAGCGUUGUUCGGAUUUACUGGGCGUAAAGGGUGCGUAGGCGGCGCGUCAAGUCAGUUGUGAAAUCUUAAGGCUUAACCUUAAGCGGUCAACUGAUACUGUCGUGCUAGAGUGCAGAAGGGGCAAUCGGAAUUCUUGGUGUAGCGGUGAAAUGCGUAGAUAUCAAGAGGAACACCUGAGGUGAAGACGGGUUGCUGGGCUGACACUGACGCUGAGGCACGAAAGCUAGGGCAGCAAACGGG